rnacentral:rRNA from 1 species
GACAGAGGGUGCAAACGUUGUUCGGAAUUACUGGGCGUAAAGCGUGUGUAGGCGGCUAUGUAAGUCGGAUGUGAAAGCCCCGGGCUCAACUCGGGAAGUGCACUCGAUACUGCGUAGCUAGAGUACCGGAGAGGUUGGUGGAAUUCUCGGUGUAGAGGUGAAAUUCGUAGAUAUCGGGAGGAACACCAGUGGCGAAGGCGGCUUUCUGGUCUGCUCUUGACGCUGAGGCGCGAAAGCUAGGGUAGCAAACGGG